rnacentral:rRNA from 1 species
CUCCUACGGGAGGCAGCAGUGGGGAAUAUUGGACAAUGGGGGCAACCCUGAUCCAGCAAUGCCGCGUGUGUGAAGAAGGCCUUAGGGUUGUAAAGCACUUUCAGUAGGGAAGAAAUGUUCAAGGCUAAUAACCUUGAGCUUUGACGUUACCUACAGAAGAAGCACUGGCUAACUCUGUGCCAGCAGCCGCGGUAAUACAGAGAGUGCAAGCGUUAAUCGGAAUUACUGGGCGUAAAGCGCACGUAGGUGGAUACUUAAGUCGGAUGUGAAAGCCCCGGGCUCAACCUGGGAACUGCACCCGAUACGGGGUAUCUCGAGUAUAAUAGAGGGGAGUGGAAUUUCCGGUGUAGCGGUGGAAUGCGUAGAUAUCGGAAAGAACACCAGUGGCGAAGGCGGCUCCCUGGAUUAAUACUGACACUGAGGUGCGAAAGCGUGGGUAGCAAACAGGAUUAGAGACCCUGGUAGUCCACGCCGUCAACGAUGAGAACUGGCUGUUGGGAGGGACUUCCUCUUAGUAGCGAAGCUAACGCGUUAAGUUCUCCGCCUGGGGAGUACGGCCGCAAGGUUGAAACUCAAAGGAAUUGACGG